rnacentral:rRNA from 1 species
AAGUCGUAACAAGGUCUCCGUAGGUGAACCUGCGGAGGGAUCAUUACUGAGUGAGGGCCUCCGGCCCGACCUCCAACCCUGUGUCGAUUCCAACCUCUGUUGCCUCGGGGGUCACCUGGUCCUCCGCUGUCAGGGCCCCCGGUGGACCACUCCAACUCUGCAUUUGAGCGUCCGAGUCCAUCGUUAAAUGAAUGAAAACUUUCAACAACGGAUCUCUUGGUUCUGGCAUCGAUGAAGAACGCAGCGAAAUGCGAUAAGUAAUGUGAAUUGCAGAAUUCAGUGAAUCAUCGAAUCUUUGAACGCACAUUGCGCCCUUUGGUAUUCCGAGGGGCAUGCCCGUUCGAGCGUCAUUUCACCACUCAAGCCUGGCUUGGUAUUGGGUCCCCGGGUGACCGGGACCUCGAACACCGUCGGCCGGACGUCCCGGACCUCAGCGUCGUGGCGUAAACAUCGCUGUCGGGAAGGGCGUCGGCGCCGUUAAAUCUUUAUUCAAGGUUGACCUCGGAUCGGGUAGGGAUACCCGCUGAACUUAA